rnacentral:snoRNA from 1 species
AGUUCCAUGAUGUUUUUAAACUUAUUACCUACAUUAUUUGAACGAGAAACCGUGUAAACGAAACAUAACUGAGAG